rnacentral:lncRNA from 1 species
CGGAGCGGUGAUAAAACACUUCACGAGUCUGGACUGGACUGGUGAAGCGUUUUAUCAGUGGAGGUUGGCCACUGAAGCCAUCACAUCAACGACAUUAGAAAACAGUUAUGCAAGUGUAACACAUUCAAUUUUCCAAGCAAGAACUCAUUGUAAAAAAUUCCCAAAGAGUGGACACUGGGACCCUCAAAGUGCUAGCAAAAAACAAUCGUCAGUUUCCGAAGUGUUCACCAAAUCGGAGGAUUAGAUUGUUGGAAGUUUCAAUCGAUCGUAGAAAAAAAACACACCAUUUCAGCAGAUGAUAACUGAAAUUUGUGCUCUUCGAUCUCAUCAACAAAGCUGUGAAUCGUCCCCUUGAUUUUCCACCAGGGUCAAGGGGAAGCGGAAGACUCUACUUGGGUAUUUUCCUUUUCUUUCGUCAUGUAUACCGACGGACCUGUGACGGGAUUUUAUUUAAAACCUCAUCGUAGUCAUAAAGACGUAAAAGAAGCGCCGGAGGAUCUCAAUAGCCUUGGUUUGAAAUUUAAGAGAAAAGCCCGUAUUAUUUUAAUUAUAGGCCAAUUUUGACAGGUGCAGCGCCGAUUUACUGCUAGACACCUCAGAGAUUUGGGAUUCGUAAAACUUCAAAUUGAUUAAAAAUUGAAACUGAAAGCCAGAUGAUGAGGGAGGUUGGGGAUCUGAUUAAAGAUAUGGAUAAUAGCAGUCAGUCAGAUAAGGGGUGGUUGGUGGGCAUGUGGUUGACCUAAAACGCAUUUUUCAAAUAUCUGUCCCAUUCUCCGGGCAACUGUUGCAGGUAUUAAAACAAGAGAGAGAAUUAAAACUCGAAGGUUUAUCAAAAAGUUUCGAUUAAGAAAAUUCCGAGGUAACAACCAAAAUUCUGUUCCCAGCGUUUCAAAAAUUCCCGCAUCGUGAGAGAAUUUUUUAGACAAAAAAAAAAAAACGAUUGAACCCAUACAAAUCCAUAAGUAUUUUCCCGAUUUUAGGACUCAAAUUUCAGAAACUAAUAUUGUAACAAGUUACAAUUGUCAAUAGAAUAAUAUCAAUGAUAAUCAACUCACAAAUCACUCCAUGGAUGAAGUAGUUGAAGCUAGUGAUUUUAUUGACUUAAACUCAACGAGAUGAAAAAGCAAAACGACCUCACUUACUGAGAGCAAAACUACCAAGCCCUAUACCGCCCUAUACUGAAAACCCUUAACGUAAUUUAAAUUGUUGCAGUCAACCAAUCCGUUGCGACGAUCGCAGAUUUAUGCGGUGCAGGGGCUGAAUCGACCGAUUUGCAUCACAUUGUACCAAAACUUGACACCUAUAAGUUUAGCUUACCUUGUGUGGAAGCUGUUUUGAUGAAAGUCCAACGUUCCUACAACUUUACUGCACCGUUUGUUGCCCCCUUACGCCGUCAAAGAAACGAAGCUUCAUGGCUAUAUAAUACCAAAAGGAUGUGUUAUCAUGUUAAAUCGGGAUGCCGUCUUCCUAGAUGCCGAGUCCUACUGGAAAGAACCGGAAGUAUUCCGCCAAGAACACGAAACUGGAAUGAGGAUGGCAGAAAAGUGAUUAAAAGAGAUCAUUUCUAUCCAUUUGGAAAAUUAUGUGUUUUGGAGAUUCCUUGGCAAUUAGCUGAACAUACCUUUUUUCUCUUCACGGCUGCUUUGAUAAAAAAUUUU